rnacentral:rRNA from 1 species
UCCAGACUCCUACGGGAGGCAGCAGUGAGGAAUAUUGGUCAAUGGGCGAGAGCCUGAACCAGCCAAGUCGCGUGAGGGAGGACGGCCCUACGGGUUGUAAACCUCUUUUGCCGGGGGACAAACGGCGGCACGCGUGCCGUCCUGAGGGUACCCGGAGAAAAAGCAUCGGCUAACUCCGUGCCAGCAGCCGCGGUAAUACGGAGGAUGCGAGCGUUAUCCGGAUUUAUUGGGUUUAAAGGGAGCGUAGAUGGGUUGUUAAGUCAGUUGUGAAAGUUUGCGGCUCAACCGUAAAAUUGCAAUUGAUACUGGCAGUCUUGAGUACAGUUGAGGUAGGCGGAAUUCGUGGUGUAGCGGUGAAAUGCUUAGAUAUCACGAAGAACUCCGAUUGCGAAGGCAGCUUACUAAACUGCCACUGACAUUGAUGCUCGAAAGUGUGGGUAUCAAACAGGAUUAGAUACCCCGGUAGC